GCAUAUCAAUAAGCGGAGGAAAAGAAAAUAACAAUGAUUCCCCUAGUAACUGCGAGUGAAGAGGGACAAGCUCAAAUUUUAAAUCUGUCGGGUUUACCUGACCGAGUUGUAAUUUGAAGAAGCGUUUUCUGCACUGUUUGAUCAGCCCAAGUCCUAUUGAAUGAGGCAUCAUGGAGGGUGAUAAUCCCGUCCGGUUGAUCAUUGUGCUCUACGAUACGCUUUCAAAGAGUCAAGUUGUUUGGGAUUGCAGCUUAAAAUGGGGGGUAAAUUUCUCCUAAGGCUAAAUAACGGCGAGAGACCGAUAGCGAACAAGUACCGUGAGGGAAAGAUGAAAAGAACUUUGAAAAGAGAGUUAAACAGUACGUGAAAUUGUUGAAAGGGAAACGAUUGAAGCCAGUCGUACCUAUGGGUAAUCAGCCUUUUGGGUGUGAUUUUGUGGAGCGUGAGGAGUUAAACGCCUUCAUGCCUGCAUAUUCGUGCACUUUGGGUGUACUUGCCCGUGUGUAAGUUAACAUCAAUUUUGGUGGUCAUAAAAUGGCUGGAGGAAUGUAGCUUCGAUCUUGUAUUGAAGUGUUAUAGCCUUCGGUAGAUGUGACGAUCGGGAUUGAGGAUUGCAACGGAUACCCUUCGGGGCUACCUGUCUGAUCUCUGAUUGUUGCUCUGGUACCGAAAGCUUGCUUACGGUUAUCAAAGUCGAUGGUCAAUAGGUUAGAACGGGUUAAAUUCGUUAAGGAUGUUGACGUA
rnacentral:rRNA from 1 species